rnacentral:rRNA from 1 species
UACGUAGGGUGCAAGCGUUGUCCGGAAUUAUUGGGCGUAAAGAGCUCGUAGGCGGUCUGUUGCGUCGGCUGUGAAAACCCGCGGCUCAACCGCGGGCCUGCAGCCGAUACGGGCAGGCUGGAGUUCGGUAGGGGAGACUGGAAUUCCUGGUGUAGCGGUGGAAUGCGCAGAUAUCAGGAGGAACACCUAUAGCGAAGGCAGCUUGCUGGGACGAUACUGACGCUAAGGCGCGAAAGCGUGGGGAGCGAACAGG